GUGACUGUAGCUCAAUUGGUUAGAGCGUCAGCCUGUGGAGCUGAAUGUUGCGGGUUCGAUUCCCGUCAGUCACCCA
rnacentral:tRNA from 1 species